CAUCCCUGGACAAACCAGAGGGCGAAGAACGAAACAUGGCAACGCUUUACGAAGAUGCCGAAGCUUGGAACACAGUAAGCCGUUUCCGGAUGCUGUCAAAUGUCCAAUCCAUGACGUCGGUAAGAAACUCCUUAUCGUUGAUUUCGGAUUGAAUUGCAUGAGAGCCACGAUUCAUUGUAGAGACAGCUAUGGAAUUGUAUACGAGUAUAAACUUAGUCGUAAGCUGCCGCUCUCGGAGGCGCUGUGGCUAACCAUUUCGAGAUUUGAAACUGUCUGUCUGAUGAUCUUCGCCGAGACGCCUUGGUUCUGGCAGAAUACUGCUCUCGACUACGACGAAGAUGAUAAUGCCACUUCGCCAACCAUCUCUGUGAUGGCAUGUUGUUGCGUGUGAUUGAUCAUUUGCCUAUCUAUAAUUUUUGUGAUUUUUCCGUUUUGAUGUUCGGCGGACAAAGAUGAGGUCUACUUGCGGCAAGAAUCUUCCCGCGAGAAAAAGGCGAGUGGUGGAUUCGGAUUUUCGACCGACGAACCUGGAAUCUACACGGCCUGUUCCGCGGAAGAUGGCGGCAACCGCGACGGAGAGGAGAGCAACUCCCAUGAUAUAAAUAGCCUCGCAGCUGGGGGAUUCUCAAUCGAAAGAAUCCAAUUCCACUUCCCAAUCUCCGGGCAACGCGAGACUCACCUGUAAGAAUGAUAUCUAUAGCUGCUACGAUAGUCACGCGACCUUCUUCUUCAUAAUUACUGCUCAAAGCGCAAACAGCCAGUCGGAUUAUGACUCCUUCGGCUUCAUUCUCGUAAACGAUUCUUUACUUGAAGGCCGGAUGCUGUUUGUGCGAUGUUCUCAAAGAAAAACUGCAGGACAACUAUCUGAUCGCCGGCUCCGAUUCUCUCCACGAUGUGAGGGAUAUCACUACUAACCAGAAUGGGAGAGAGCUGACCAGUAUGACACUCCCGUGCUCGCGAAAGUGCUCUCCGAUGGCUCGGAGAAAGGGUUUGCAAAAGAAGGUAGAAGGCCGUGGAGGGGAAAAAGGGCUGAAAAGUAGAGAUUUUGACCUGGUCAAAAGUUGCAAACAUGAACAAACACAGCAUUCGUUUGAAGGUUUUGUAGGUUUCUUAUCUCCACAUGAUUACCAGAGUUCCAAACUUAUCAAAAAAGAAAAGGCCCUGAUAGUUCUGUUCAUGAAGGGGAGGAUCAUUCAUUUACCCGACUUCCCCGGCCGACCACACGAUCUGUUUUGGUAAACCUCAAAUUUGACUGUUAGAUUCUGUUUGUUCUUUAUGAUUGCUUGAUUGAUGAUUCUGAAUCUCCCAAUGGCAAAUGAAUCUCCUGUACUCUUUUUGAAAUCUGAUUCAAGAUUUACCUUGCCACACUCAAGCUAGGCUGUUUUGCUUUCCUCCUUUAUUGCACCUCUGACUGGCUUUACCGUGUCAAUCAAUCACCAAACACUUGCUGCCAAAACAAAGGCGCCUUUUGUAUUGCAAUGACAAGGUUUGGUUUGAUUUAUUUUAUAAUGGCUCAAGCCCAUUACUAGUAGAUAUUAUCCUUAAAGUUUUUAAAAUACGUUUGUUAGGUGAGGUUUCCACACCCUUAUAAAGAAUACUUCAUUCUUCUCUUCAACCGUAGUGUGAUCUCACCCAAUUUUGGAGCUCAGCGUCCUCGCUCGCACUCGUUCCUCUCUCCAAUUCAUGUGAGAUCUCACAAUCCACUUCACUUCGGGGCCUAGUGUCCUUGCUGACACUCGUUCCUCUCUCCAAUCGAUGUGGGAUCUCACAUCUUUGAUCCCUACACCAAACAAACUCCAAUUCCUUUUCUAUUUCCUUUUGAGAAAAGGAUGAACAAACUUUAUAUGAAUGGGGUCUCUUGCUUUGGAGUUGUUAUUUCUUGUUUUACACAAUCAAAGUGCCCAAUAAUUAGAUUAGAUUCCUUUAGUAGCACUUGGGAUUUGUAAUUUAAUGGCAAACUUAUUUUCAUACAACUUUUAAUAACUCACUUUAUAACAAUUUCUUUCGUUCUUGAUCA